rnacentral:misc_RNA from 1 species
GAUAUGUUAAAGCUCUCGUUACGUGGGGAAGUGAGAGUUGUUAUGAGUUUCUAUCAAGAUCACAAACCAUGGUAAUUACCAAUUAGUUGGCGCAUACCAAAUCUAAACGAGAUGGUUUGGCCCAUCGGCCAUAGCACAGAGGAGUGUGGCAUACAAGAGUUAAAGAGUAUGAUGAACCUGUUAUCCCAAGAGAAGUGUGGGAGACAAAUCAAGACUGCACGUUAGAUUCUCCUUCAAUGGUUCUGCUCCCCAGUCAUCUAAUCUUGGACCGAUGAGGCAUUCUAAAUCGCUGUGGACGUUUUGUGCAAUUCCUACCCGUAGUUUAUUUGAAAGUUGAACCCUGAAAGAAAGAUGCCAAAAGUGAUGGCAAGUAACCAAAAUGCUCCAUUCCAUCCACCAUCCGUGUCUGAAUUUUCCGCCGAAAACAAAAUGGAUACUCGUUGCUGUAGGCCUCUUUUAUACCCCAAAACUGUCCUCUUUUUGAACAAAUGCAGCCACAAAAUUCAUAUCAAGCUAAUGGUAAGGAACUAAACUUUACAGCCUAGGAGAAACAACCUCAAAUAAGCAUUAUGACCUGCCAAAGAAUGAACAAUAUCUUCACAUGGACCUAUGACUCUGGGCGAAGCUUCCUUAUCAACCAUUUCUUUCGUAGUUUGACAUCCAGUGCCAUAAAUGUUUUAGCUUUCGUUUCAUCCUCUAAGAAAUCACAUGCAUCUAGUAUAAGCUCUUCGUCCAUGUCUGGCAAAGCUUGGACAGUUCUAAUUACAUUCUCUAUCGAGAUAAAGUUUGAAUUCUCAUCCUUCCUUUUAUCUGAUAAAGAAGAAACUGCGGUUGCCAUCUCACGGAGGGCACUAGCCAUGCCCUUGUCUUUGCCUCUCGCCUUUUUAGAGUUAGCAGAAUUUGACUGGGUUUCCGAUUGACGUUUCUUCUUCUGAUCAAACACAACAGUUUUUGAACCUGUAUGUUCAGACUCCAACAUAUAACGAACUUCUUCCAUGGAUACUGAUGCAACUGGAGAUUGAGAAACCUGUGAGUCAGCAGGAAACUUGACCUCUGGAAGAUCAUUUUGCAGCUCCAAGCACUGAGCAGAGAAGCAGUCACUUUCAUCAAAGUUUUGAUCAUUGCAUAUCAUACACAAAUCUUUGUAGUAUGGGACAGGUCGAGUCAUGAACUGCCGUGCAUCUGUAUGUGUCUUGAUAUAGUCCUGCCAGACAUAGUCAUCAGCGGUCACCAUUUGGCGAGUAUCAUCCCAAGUAAACCCAGCCAAUUCAAGAAGGUUCUUUAUAACAUUAUACUGCCUUCUCAGAGUUUUGUAGC